rnacentral:rRNA from 1 species
UACGAAGGGGGCUAGCGUUGUCCGGAAUCACUGGGCGUAAAGGGCGCGUAGGUGGCGCGGGCAGUCAACGGUGAAAGUUCGGGGCUCAACCCUGAAUCGGCCGUCGAUACUCCCGGUGCUUGAGCACUGUAGAGGCAGAUGGAAUUCCGGGUGUAGCGGUGGAAUGCGUAGAGAUCCGGAAGAACACCGGUGGCGAAGGCGGUCUGCUGGGCAGUAGCUGACACUGAAGCGCGGACACGUGGGAGCAACAGGAGUU